CAUUACAUCCGCUCAUCUUCAAGGACAAUGACAAAGCUCGCGAUGUAAUAACAGCCGGUUUGCCGGCACGUCCUGAGGACGUCAGCGAGGGUAAAUCGUAUUGUUCUCCCGCCGUGGCCGCUCACAGCGCCGGCUCUUUUGUAAUGACGAUGUAAGCCGGAGUCGCCCCGUGACCUUUGAGACGGGCGGGGGGUCCAGAUGGAGAGCUCGUCUGCCCUCUUUUCUUCUCCCCCUUUUUUUUCCUUCUCUUUUUCUCCUCCAGCAAUAUCAUCAUCCAUUCGCAUCAGCUCCAACACGUGAGCAAGCUCGACUCAAGAGGCAAAUGUCAAUGGCCAUCAGACGGCUGGAUAAAGAGCUGGCUGGUAUCCACCGCCGCACUGCCUGCUGCGUGCAGACAACGGGAGCGUAAAUAAACAGGCCGAUUAAGCCGCCCACACAGGGAAGCGUCAAGCAUUGCUGCAGAGAUUGAAGAGGUGGGGGUCAGCCUGUUAGUGCUCAGACCAUACGCCGCACUCUACAUCAAAUUGGUGUGCGUGGCUGUCACCUCAGGAGGAAGCCUCUUCUGAAGA